GGGCGGCGGGCGCAGGUUCCGAAACCAGCCAACGUGGGAACGGGAAAGGAGGCUUGCCUUAAUAUGGACGAACCCUAAGACUUAAGAAGUCCAUACAGUUUUAAAGAUGAAGCACCAUGAAAUGCAGAAACUUCUGGUCCGGCUAUCUCAGCUGAUUAUUUUCAUGUUGCCACAAUUUGUCAGUGAGUUUUGCCUUUUUCUUUUCUCAGUUCCUUUAAAGGCAGGCAGUGCAUUCUUUACUUACCUGGUAAUGUGGAGGAUGCAAGGUUUAGAAAACAGACUAGUUUUAUUUGGUUUAUUGUAAUGACUUGUUCGUUAAAGUAAGGUGCAAGACGUUGGAAGCAAAAGUAUUUCAGUCAUUCAAAAAGUAGUACCGAAGCAAUGAACAUCGAGGCUGUUAAAACGACUUACUAGGCCCCAUUUUUAGACCUAAACCAACAACUUUAUGGAACAGUUUUAGGGGCUUUUAAAAUGGGAGGAUAUUCAAAGAUACAUUCCACGGGCACCUGACUAGCUCAGUCGCUAGAGCCUGUGACUCCAGAUCUCGGGGUGGUGAGUUUGAGCCCCAAGUUGGGUGUAGAGAUUCUUAAAAAUAAAAUGUUAAACAACAACAACAACAACAACAACAACAACAACAGAAAAACCCCACAAAGUUACAUUUCACAUUUGGUACAUUUGGUAGCUGAAUGGGAGUAGUGAGGACAGAAAUUUGGGUAGAGAGGAAAUUGUUUGACACCGAAGGAUAUUAGGAAGUAGGGAAUCCUUGUGUUAUAUUUAGAGCUUUGUAAAACUCUAUAUAAUAAUAAAUGCUUUCUGUUAUGUCAAGAUAGAUCAGUUGGUUAUGGCACACUGCUUGGAGGCCCAGAUAAUAGUGGGUACCCCCUCCCCCCCCAGACCUCGCCUGUGCCUUUCAGGAGAAUCUAUUACAAGACCAUAAACUAUAUAUUGCUAACCCUUGUAAAUGCAUAAAGUGGUUAGUUAGGAUAAAGUGUGGCUUUAAAAUGGCCCUAGCAGAAACCUAUUGCUGUUACACUAUUCAAGAUAUCCUUGCAGUGAUAUGUUAGUAACAAAAAGUAAACAUAAAACAGUAACAAAUCAUAGCUCAAAUUCAGUUAUUACUUUACUCAGAUUUGGUAAAGCCUUCACCCUUCAUAUCAAAUAACAAAUUUACACUAUUAAUAUGUGUGUGUAGUUUGUAAUGAGACAUAUAUAUGUGUGUGUGUGUAUAUGUUUCUGAUUUCAUAUAUAUUUCUAGUUUUAUAAAUAUAUAUAUAAUAUCUCCACUUCUAUGAACCUGGAAUACAAACAAGGAGGUUUUCUUUUAUUUCUAAUAAAUAUAUAUUUUUUGUAAUCCUGUUAAAAGGUUUUCAACUCAAGAUCCAAAUUUACACACAUUUUCCAAACUGGGUUACCAGGGACAGGAAUAUAUUUAAAUAUUGUCUCACUUAUUCUUAAAGGAGAUGGAAAAUGAUUAGUUUGCUUGGCCCAGAAGAAUGAAUGUUAGGGAACCACCCUGCUUAACUCCAUUUUGCUGUCUGCUCUGGAUGAAAGCCAUUUGGAAGCAGGCACCUCCCUUCUCCUAGCUCUCUGCAGAACCUUAGAGCUUUCACUGCAGAGAUUUGCUCCUAUGGGCCUAUAUGUUUCCCUAGAUGCCUUCCUAAAAUCAUUAGCUUUGCUAGCCUUGUUUCUGUGAAUUCCCCUGUUGUGAAUGAGGAAGUAUUUGAGGGGUUUUUUUAGGUCCCUGAUGAUACCUUGGUUUUUAGAGAGUAAUUUAGAGCCAAAAAGGACUUUUAAAUAUUAUCUAAUCUGGUAUCUUUAUGCCAGAAAAAUAUUGAAUAAUGCUAAGUAUAUUUUGCUACCUCUUUAGUACCUGAAAGGAAAAGCUGACAUUUGUUUUUCUUUUGUACCCAUAUUAAACUUACAUAGGUUUAUUUACUUGUAUUAUAUAUAGAUGUAUAUACUUUGUAUAUAUUUAGCAACUAAAUAGUAGUUAUCUAUUGCUGGGAUAUAAACAGUAUUAUCCACUGUCUUAACAUUUUAACUGAUUAUAUUAUAGAUCUUUCUUUUGUUGGACUGUUUCAGGGCUUGUAACAAUUUGCUUUGAGUUUUUGAUGUAAUGGAAAUGUUGUGUUGCUAUUUGAGCCACUCCCAUCUUUGCUACUUAAUGUUGUGGCCAUUUGCUACUGUUUUAACUGUUCUAUGCAGUCAGAACAUUUUUGAUAGUUCCAUAUUGUGGUUUAGACACAACAGUUCACUUUAUAUUUUGUUCCUUUAACCAGCUCUACAGGGAAAGACAAAAAUAAGUAGCAAUAACUUACCAAGCAUCAACUAUUUUCAAACAUUUAGCCUUUAUUCUUACUUAUCACAAUGCUAUAAAUUUACAUAUACUAUUUUGUGUUCUCUCCCUGCCCUCCCCUCCACCCCACCCGCCAUGGUAUAGGGGAAAGAAAAUGGGGUUUGGAUUCAGAUAGUUCUAGACACAAUUUUAAUUUUGUCAGUUAAUGGUAGUAUGACUUUAGAUCCUUAAUUAUCUUUCUCCAGUUUCAUUUAUGAAUGAGAAUCAGUAUUAGUUUGAAUCAUCUUUUUCUCAUAUUGUCAUAUUCAAACCCAUUAGUAAAUUCUAUCAGCUUUAUUUUCCAUAAUAUUCCCAUCACUUAUUAUCACAUUCCCUUAUUUCAUAGCAUUUAUAGAAUCUGAAAUUAUCUUGUUUGUAUGUUUAUUUACCUGUUUAAAAUUUCCCCCUAAUUGCAUGCAAACUCCAUGUCUGUUUGUGUGGAAGCCAAUCUUUGUUGCCCCUCUAAAAACCACCUUAUUCCAUCCUUCUUUGCCAAGAUAACGUCUCUCUCUUUUUAUUUUCUUCUUAUUAUUAUUAAAUUUUUUUUUUAAGGUUUAUUCAUUUUUCAGAGACAGAGCAUGAGUGGGGGAGGGGCAGAGAGAGAGAGACAAUCUGAAACAGGCUCCAGGCUCUGAGCUGUCAGCACAGAGCCCGAUGCAGGGCCCAAACUCACAGAUGGUGAGAUCAUGACCCGAGCUGAAGUUGCAUGCCUAACCUACUCAGCCAUCCAGGCACCCCUGUUCUUCUUAUUUUUUAAUGUUUAUUUACUUUUGAGAGAGAGAGCGCAAGCAAGGGAGGAGCAGAGAGAGAGGGGACACAAUGUGAAGCAGGCUCCAGGCUCUGAGCUGUCAGCACAGAGUCUGAUAUGGGGCUUGAAUCCACGAACCACGAGAUCAUGACCUAAGCUGAAGUCCGAUGCUUAACUGACUAAGCCACCCAGGCGCCCCCACGCUCUCUCUUUUUAAAGGAUAUUUAUGUGCUCCAUCCCAGGGGACAAAUCAAGGGAACCCUAUUUCCUUUUACCAGUUGUUUACUUGCUUUUUCAGUCUCCUUAUGAUUGGACCCCAGUUCUGGCCAAUGGAACAUAAAGGGAAGUUGGCUAGGGUAUUUCUGAAUGGUUUUGAAAGAACACUUCAACUACCUCCAUUUUGACUUCAGUCUGUAAUUUUUUUUUUUUUUUUUAAACAGGAAGAUCUUUAAAAGUUUAUUUAUUUAUUUUAAGAGAGAGGGAGAGAGAGUGCACACACAAGUGGGGGAGGGGCAGAGAGAGAGGGAGAGAGAGAGAAUCCCAAGCAGGCUCCGUGCUGUCAGCAAAGAGCCGGACUCGCAGAUCACUCAUACAAACAGUGAGAUCAUGAACUGAACCAAAAUCAAGAGCUGGACGCUUACCUGACUGAGCUACCCAGGUAUCCCCAACCCUCAGUCGGUACUUUCUAAUUGAUUAAAUUCUUUUUUCCAAACCUCUCUCUCUUUUUUUUUUCUAAUUUUAUUUUUUGAAUUUAUAUCCAAAUUAGUUAGCAUAUAGUGCAACAAUAAUUUCAGGAGUAUAUUCCUUAAUGCCCCUUACCCAUUUAGCCCAUCUCCCCUCCUACAACCCCUCCAGUAACCCUCUGUUUGUUCUCCAUAUUUAGGAGUCUCUUAUGUUUUGUCCCCCUCCCUGUUUCUAUAUUAUUUUUGCUUCCCUUCCCUUGUGUUCAUCUGUUCUGUGUCUUAAAGUCCUCAUAUGAGUGAAGUCAUAUGAUAUUUGUCUUUCUCUGACUAAUUUCACUUAGCAUAAUACCCUCUAGUUCCAUCCAUGUAGUGGCAAAUGGCAAGAUUUAAUUCUUUUUGAUUGCCGAGUAAUACUCCAUUGUAUAUACAUACCACAUUUUCUUUAUCCAUCCAUCCAUCGAUGGACAUUGGGCUCUUUCCAUACUUUGGCUAUUGUCGAUAGUGCUGCUAUAAACAUUGGGGUGCAUGUGUCCCUUUGAAACAGCAUACCUGUAUCCCUUGGAUAAAUACUUAGUAGUGCAAUUCCUGGGUCGUAGGGUAGUUCUAUUUUUAAUUUUUUGAGGAACCUCCAUACUGUUUUCCAGAGUGGCUGCACCAGCUUGCAUUCCCAUCAGCAGUGCAAAAGAGAUCCUCUUUCUCUGCAUCCUCGCCAACAUCUGUUGUUGCUUGAGUAGCUAAUUUAGCCAUUCUGACAGGUGUGAGGUGGUAUCUCAUUGUGGUUUUGAUUUGUGUUUCCCUGAUGAUGAGUGAUGUUGAGCAUUUUUUCAUGUAUCGGUUGGCCAUCUAGGUGUCUUCUUUGGAGAAGUGUCUGUUCAUGUCUUUUGCCCAUUUCUUCACUGGAUUAUUUGUGUUUUGGGUGUUGAGUUUGAUAAGUUCUUUGUAGAUUUUGGAUACUAACCCUUUAUCUGAUAUAUCGUUUGCAAAUAUCUUCUCCCAUUCUGUCAGUUGCCUUUUAGUUUUCCUUCCUGAUUCUUUCGUUUCCUGAUUGUUUCCUUCACUGUGCAGAAGCUUUUUAUUUUGAUGAGGUCCCAAUGGUUUAUUUUUGCUUUUGUUUCCCUUGCCUCCAGAGACGUGUUGAGUAAGAAGUUGCUGUGGCCAAGGUCAAAGAGGUUUUUGCCUGCUUUCUCCUUGAGGAUUUUGAUGGCUUCCUGUCUUACAUUUAGGUCUUUCAUCCAUUUUGAGUUUAUUUUUGUGUAUGGUGUAAGAAAGUGGUCCAGGUUCAUUCUGCAUGUCGCUGUCCAGUUUUCCCAGCACCACUUGCUGAAGAGACUGUCUUUAUUCCAUUGGAUAUUCUUUCCUGCUUUGUCAAAGAUUAGUUGGCCAUAUGUUUGUGGGUCCAUUUCUGGGUUUUCUAUUCUGUUCCAUUGAUCUGAGUGUCUGUUUUUGUGCCAGUACCACACUGUCUUGAUGAUUACAGCUUUGUAGUACAGCUUGAAGUCUGGGACUGUGAUGCCUUCUACUUUGGUUUUCUUUUUCAAGAUUGCUUUGGCUAUUUGGGGUCUUUUCUGGUUCCAUACAGAUUUUAGGAUUAUUUGUUCUAGCUCUGUGAAGAAUGCCGGUGUUAUUUCGAUAGGGAUUGCAUUGAAUAUGUAGAUUACUUUGGGUAGUAUUGACAUUUUAACAAUAUUUGUUCUUCCUAUCCAGGUGCAUGGAAUAUUUUUCCUUUUUUUGUGUGUGUGUCUUCAAUUUCUUUCAUAAGCUUUCUAUAGUUUUCAGUGUAUAGAUUUUUCACCUCUUUGGUUAGAUUUAUUCCUAGGUAUUUUAUGGGUUUUGGUGUCUCUCUCUUUUUUUUAAGAUUUUAUUUUUUAAGUAAUCUCUAUACCCAACAUGGGGUUUGAAUUUACAAUCCUGAGUUCAAGUCGCAGGCUCUAUGGACUGAGCUGCCAGGUGCCCAUCAAACUUAUCUCUUAACUCAGGCAAAAGACCCUGCGGGCAAAGCAUCCCCCAUGGGAACCAAAACUACCCCUUUGAGCAAUAAGGACUGCCCUGAGCCAGCAGGACCCCUGGUGACUGACCCUAAGACAAUGAUCGGUUUAACCUUCAUUGCCUACCUGCACGUACCCACCAACCUUUGCUCCACAUUUUCCUUAUAUAUACCUGGAAGUAUUUUCAACACUUUGGAGACAGUCUUUGAGAUGUUGGUCUGCUGUCUUUCCAGUGUUGCCGUCAGUGAGGUAAAUUCCUUUCUUCUUUCACCACCACUCGUUUCUCUGUCUUUGGGUUUUGUCAGUGGCGAGUAGUUGAACCUUAUCUGUUUGGGACUCUCAGAGCCAGGUGCUCUUGCACCCCUGUGCCCCAACUACAGUUUUCCCCCUGAUCAAAAGAGAUUGCACCCUUGAGAAAAGCCCUUUUGUUUCUGGUCUUCCCUUUGCUUUCUGUUUUUGGAAAUGUCCUAUGAAGGUGUAAUGCCUGCAGCCAAUUUAAGACUUUCAGGGUCUUAAUAUAAAGACAAUCAGAGAGGUGUGCCUGGGUGGCUCAGUUGGUUAAGCGUCUAACUCUUGUUUUUGGCUCAGGUCAUGAUCUCACAGUUUGUGGUUUGAGCCCUGCAUCAGGCUCUGUGCUGACAGUGCUGACAUUCUCUGUCUCCAUCUCUCUCUGCCCCUCCACUGCUCGUUCUCUAUCUCUCUCUCUCUCAAGAUAAAUAAAUAAACAUUAAAAAAUCAUUUAUUUGUUUAAAAAAAAAAGACAAAGAGAUGCCAAUUCAGUGCUCUGGCACUGUGAAGCUGCUAAGCCAACCUUAAAACCACCUACCUCCAGAUUUAUUAUUAUACUAAGUGCCUGAUUUGUCAUUUGUUGUUGAAUGCCAGACUUGGUGGUUGACUGGAUACAGGGUUUGAAGGAAACUGAGGAAUGGAGGUUAAUUUUUAGGUUUUGGGUUUAAAUAACUGAUUGAAUGGUAGUGUUUUUCACUGAGAUCAGAACACUGAAGGAAGAAGUGGAUGUGAACUGAAGAAGGGACACAGGAGAAGCUAACAAUUCAGCUUUUGUCUUGUUUUGAGGUUUAAGUGUCUGUGGUACGUAUACCUGGAGAUGUCCAUUAGUCAUAUAUGCAGAUAUGGAGAGAGGAGAGAGAUACAGAUUUGAGAGUCUUCAGCAUAAAGAUGGUAAUUAAACCGUGGAGAUGGAUAAGACCACUUGGGAAAUAUAUAGAGCCAGGAGAAGAGUAGCCUUAGUAGAGAACUUGGCUUUAGUAGGGAACUGAAGAAUGGCCUUAUUCAAAGUAGAGAAAAGGAACCUAUAAAAGGAGUCUGAGAAGGAAUGAUUGGGGAAGUAGAACUGGGGGUCUCACAGGCCAAGGAAAGAAAUGGUUUCCAGAAGAAGUGGUACAAUACCAAAUGCUGUAGGGAAGUUAAGUAGGGUAAAGACUACAAAGUGUUCUAUAUAUAUAUAUAUUAUAUAUACAAAAAAUAAUAUGACUUCUUUUAUUUAUUUACUUGACAAAUAUUUAUUGAGAGCUUACCACUCAAGUACUCCUUUUAAAUGUUGGGUAGAUACAACAAUGAACAAAAUAUGUUCUUCCCCCCCAUGGAAUUUAUAUUUUAGUGAAGAAGAAAGAAAAUAAAUAUGUAGCACAGAGAUGUAAAAUAUAAUGUCAAGUACUAAUGAGUGCUAUGAGGAAAAAUAAAGUGAAAAGAGAUUAAAGUUAAGAAGAAUGCUAUUUUAGAUAAAGCGAUCUGAGAAGGCCUCUCUGAGGAGGUAGUUAUUUGAACAAAGAUCUGAAUUAGGUGAUAGAUAGAAUGGGCAUUUCAUGCAGAUGAACAUCAAGUGUAAAGCUUGAGGUUGAGCUUGUAUGUCUUUUUAAAGCAAUAUCAAUAAAGUCAGUGAGAUAUGAGCAGAGGAAGUGAGGGGGAGAGUAUUAUGAUAUAAGAUCUAAGAAGUAGCCAGUGCCUAGAUCAUGCAAGUGUCUUCCUAUUAGCCAUGGAAAGACUAUGUUUUAUUCUAAAAAUAAGGGAAGCCAUUACAUAGUUUUGAGCAAAGCUGUGGCAUAUUCUAUUUUAGACUUCAAAAGGAAUUUUCUGGCUGUUAUGAGAAUAAACUAUAGGAGGUUAAGAGUGGAAUAAGGAGUAUGAGUUGGAAGGGAAUAACAGUAAUGCAAGUAAGAGGUGAUAGUUACUUGGACCAGGGUGCACCAGUGGUGGAGGUGGUAAAAUGGGGUCAGUGUAUGGAUAUAUAUUGAAGGUAGUACUGGUAGGAUUUAUUAAUGCAUGGAAUGUAGAGUGAGAAAGAAAGAGAGGAGUCAAACAUGAUCCUACGGUUUCUGGCCCAAGCAACAAUGGGGAAUACUGAAGGAGGAACAGGGAUCAAGAAAUGGAGGGAAUCAGAAGUUCAGUUUUGGACAUGUUAAGUUUGAGAUGUAGGUAUUAGUUAUCUAGGUAGAAAUGGUGAUUAGGCAGUAAGCUAAGGUGCAGAGAAGUCACACUGGAAGUAAAUUUAGGAGUCAUUAGCAUGGAAACUGGGUGAUAUCACCUAGGAAGAAAGUGUAGAUUAAAAGAGGACCAAAGGGAUGCCUGGGUGGCUCAGUCGGUUAAGCAUCUGACUCUUGAUUUUGGCUCAGGUCAUGAUCUCACAGUUCGUCAGAUGAGCCCUGAGUUGGGCUCUGCGCUGACAAUGUGAAGCCUGCUUGGGAUUCUCUCUCUCCUUCUCUUUCUGCCCCUCUCCUGCUCACACUCUCUCUCUCUCAGUCUCUCUCUCAAAAUAAAUAUAUAAACAUUAAAAAAAAAAUAAAAAAGGACCCAAGAUUGAACCCUGGAGCCCUUCAGGUUUUAAAAAUGAGGAAGAAGAUCCUGUAGUCAAAAGUGAGAAAGAGGGGUGCCUGGGUGGCGCAGUUGGUUAAGCGUCCAACUUCAGCUCAGGUCACGAUCUUGCGGUCCGUGAGUUCAAGCCCCGCGUCGGGCUCUGGGCUGAUGGCUCAGAGCCUGGAGCCUGUUUCUGAUUCUGUGUCUCCCUCUCUCUCUGCCCCUCCCCCGUUCAUGCUCUGUCUCUGUCUCAAAAAUAAAUAAACAUUAAAAAAAAAAAUUAAAAAAAAAAAAAGUGAGAAAGAUCAGCCAGUGGUGUAGGAAGAAAAACAUGAAGAGUGUGGUGUUCUGGAAACCAAAUGAAGAAAGUGUUUCAAGCAGGAGAGUGCAAACUGUGUCAAAUUCUUUUGGGAAGUUAGGUAAGAUAAGGUCAGAGAGUUGGCUAAUAGAUUUGGCAGUGUGGAUGUCACUGGUGACCUGGGCAAGAGUGGCAUCAGUAGGCAUGAAUGAAGGGCUUGAUGGGGGUGGGUUUGAGAGAGAAUGCAAGGUGAGGAAGUGGAGAAAAUGGGAUAAAAACCUCUUUUGAGGAAUUUUGCUUUAAGGGAGUUAAGGAGGAUAGCUGGGAUAGCUGGAUAGGGAUGUUCAAUAAAGGAAAGAUUUUUUUUAAAGAUGGGAGAUAGUUUAACAUGUGUGUUUGCUAGUGAGAAGAAAUAAAAGAGGGGGAAAUUGAUGAUGUGAGGAAAAGGGGGGAUCAAUUAAGGAGCAAAGUUUUAGACUAGUGAAAUGGGAAGGGAUCCAGUGUGCCACUGAAGGGGUUAACCUUGGAGAGGAGCAUGAUAGUUUUUCCACUGACACAUAGGAGGAAGCAGAGUAUGAGUACAGGUUCAGAUUGGCAGUUAGAUUUGGUGAUGGGAACACUGGAAUUUCUCUUUUGGUGGCUUCUUUUUUCUUCCCACCCCAGUGAAAUAGCAAAACAGGGAAUUUCUCCUUAUUCUCUCCCUGUUUCUUAAUCACAGCAGAACCCUGAUUUUGUUGGGAGCUAGGUGCCAAGUUUCUGUUCCAAUUACACAAGGGAUGUCUAUGUGACUAAGUUCUGGUGACUUGUUAGUGGAAGUUAUUUUGUGGGGCUUCUGAGCUGGUAUAUGUUUUUAGCCCUUUCUUUCUCUCUUUCUCUCUCUCUUUUUUUUUUUUUUUUUUGCUUAGAAUGUGGACAUGAUAAUUGAAGUUCAACCAUCUUACAACAAUAAAGUGAUCCUAAACCAUUGCUAAGGAUGGAGGAAGCUAGAAUCUAGGUCCCUGAUGACAUUGUGGAGCUGCCAAACCAGCCCAGGAUUGCCUACCUCUGGACUUUUCAUUAUGG
rnacentral:lncRNA from 1 species